rnacentral:rRNA from 1 species
GAUGAACGCUGGCGGCGUGCCUAAUACAUGCAAGUCGAGCGAACAGACGAGGAGCUUGCUCCUCUGACGUUAGCGGCGGACGGGUGAGUAACACGUGGAUAACCUACCUAUAAGACUGGGAUAACUUCGGGAAACCGGAGCUAAUACCGGAUAAUAUAUUGAACCGCAUGGUUCAAUAGUGAAAGACGGUUUUGCUGUCACUUAUAGAUGGAUCCGCGCCGCAUUAGCUAGUUGGUAAGGUAACGGCUUACCAAGGCGACGAUGCGUAGCCGACCUGAGAGGGUGAGCGGCCACACUGGAACUGAAACACGGUCCAGACCCCUACGGGAGGCAGCAGUAGGGAAUCUUCCGCAAUGGGCGAAAGCCUGACGGAGCAACGCCGCGUGAGUGAUGAAGGUCUUCGGAUCGUAAAACUCUGUUAUUAGGGAAGAACAAAUGUGUAAGUAACUAUGCACGUCUUGACGGUACCUAAUCAGAAAGCCACGGCUAACUACGUG